rnacentral:rRNA from 1 species
UACAGGGGGGGCAAGCGUUGUUCGGAAUUACUGGGCGUAAAGGGCUCGUAGGCGGCCAACUAAGUCCGACGUGAAAUCCCAAGGCUUAACCUUGGAACUGCGUCGGAUACUGGAUGGCUUGAAUUCGGGAGAGGGAUGCAGAAUUCCAGGUGUAGCGGUGAAAUUCGUAGAUAUCUGGAGGAAUACCGGUGGCGAAGGCGGCAUCCUGGACCGACAUUGACGCUGAGGAGCGAAAGCUAGGGGAGCAAACGGG